rnacentral:rRNA from 1 species
UACGUAGGUGGCGAGCGUUGUCCGGAAUUACUGGGUGUAAAGCGCGUGUAGGCGGCAGGCCAAGUCGGUGGUGAAAGCGCCCGGCUCAACUGGGCGAGGUCCAUGGAAACUGGUCAGCUGGAGGACGGUAGAGGCGAGUGGAAUUCCCGGUGUAGUGGUGAAAUGCGUAGAUAUCAGGAGGAACACCGAUUGCGAAGGCAGCUCGCUGGGACGUAACUGACGCUGAGACGCGAAAGCGUGGGGAGCAAACAGG